GACGAACGCUGGCGGCGUGCUUAACACAUGCAAGUAGAACGAGUGGCGAACGGGUGAGUAAUACGUGGGUAACCUGCCCUAUUUUUGGGAAAAGCCUUGGAAACUGGGUCUAAUACCGAAUAAAGGGGGAUGGGCUCGCGGCCUAUCAGCUUGGUGGGUGGGUGAUGGCCUACCAAGGCGGUGACGGGUAGCAUGACUGAGAGGGUGACCGGCCACAUUGGGACUAGGAUACGGCCCAGACUCCUACGGUGGGCAGCAGUGGGGAAUAUUGCACAAUGGGCGCAAGCCUGAUGCAGCCAUGCCGCGUGUAUGAAGAAGGCCCUAGGGUUGUAAAGUACUUUCAGUCGUGAGGCGUUACCGACAGAAGAAGCACCGGCUAACUACGUGCCAACAGCCGCGGUAAUUC
rnacentral:rRNA from 1 species